GAAGUUGGUUUACAAGUCUAAUACUCAUCUGGAAGUUUCGAAGCAAGACCUGAUGGGUCGGGGUGAGGAUAGGGUGCCCUCUUCUCGAUAUUGGAAGGAGCUAUAAGUAGGCUCGUAUGGUGCGCACGAGCCUGUGCCAUACCUUGUCGAAGGCCUUCGCGACACGGCUGAUGUGGUAGCAUGGAAUUGACGCCGUAUGAGGAUGUACUCGUUAUUACAUCAAUUUUAGUAAUUGUUGCUUGGGCAAAUACACUACCACUGAAAUUGUGUAACUUUCUGUGUACACAAUAAGUAAUCAUGAAGUGUUCCCGUAGAACACUUUGUCACCUAGGACCCUGCCGCCCUCGUCAUCCACCUUCUUGUUCGUCUGAUAACAAUCAAAGUCUGUGAAACAGCUGUUAAUAGAAAGGAGAAUCCAUCAUGAAUAAAAUAAAAAGACAAUCAAUUUUUGUAUGAAGUAUUGAAAGGGAUCACCUAGUUAUAUUAUUAUUAUGAAAUUCAAAACUGUUUGUAGCAAUAAAUAAAUGAAGAAGUAAUACAAUUAUUUGUAUAUUUAAAAAACGCUUUAAUAAAAUAACUUCGUCGUUCCAAUUUCCAAUUUAUAACCAUGAAAAAAAUGUAAACUAUAUUUCUUCAUAAGCCCAACAUAAACCAAGCUCAAGAUCUCGAAUCGGUUCAAAAGCUAUCAAAACUAUUUCAUAAAUUAAAUACUGAUUAUCUGUCACUAUGCCGUCACUGUGACAUUAAAGAAUCUGCGCUCGAUCUUCAUAUUAAAACAAUAGCAUUCAGAGAGUGGACUUGAAUGGUCGGAGAUCUCUUGGGACUCCUUGCAAUAUGGGGUACCACAAGGGUCUAUUCUUGGACCGUUCAACAUAAUGUUAACAAUAAUUUUUUGUACCGAUAGAAUAACCUUAAACCCAUUUUUCUUAGGUUCGAUUCGCCCCGGGAUCUGCCAAACAGGAAAUGAGAAGUAAACCAGGGAAAGCGGCAGCCGAUAUCAACCUGAACCGCACCUGAAAGUAUUUUUGGUAGUGCUGAGACAAUCAAAAAUAAGAGAUUACUACAGAGGCAGACAGAGCGGGAUUUUAUAGCGGGAAAAUAAUUACAGAUCAUAGCGUAGUGACACUUGAGUUUUUGACAGCUGCGUGACACAGUGACGUGUUCUUUAUUUCAAUUAAUUCAUUCAACACUGCUUACUAUAUAACUUUAACCUUAUAAUAAUUUGUAUAAGGGGUUAUGCAUUUUGCAAAAGUGAACAAUUUUUGAAUUAAAAUAAUUUAAAAAUGCAACGGCAAAAAAUUAU